GCCUUUGUGGUAUAGUGGUCAGCGCACUCGACGCUUAUUCGAGAAGUCCGUGGUUCAAGUCCCGUGAGGGCA
rnacentral:tRNA from 1 species